AGCGAACGUUUGCGGCGGGCCUAACACAUGCAAGUCGAACGGGUUGGCAACAACCAGUGGCGCACGGGUGCGUAACACGUAGGUAAUCUACCCUCAAGUUCGGGAUAACGAUCUGAAAGGAUCGCUAAUACCGGAUGUGUUCCGAAAGGAAGAAAGACCCGCAAGGGUCGCUAGAGGACGAGCCUGCGGCCCAUCAGCUAGUUGGUGAGGUAAUGGCUCACCAAGGCUAAGACGGGUAGCUGGUCUGAGAGGAUGAUCAGUCACACUGGAACUGAGACACGGUCCAGACUCCUACGGGAGGCAGCAGUGGGGAAUAUUGCGCAAUGGGCGAAAGCCUGACGCAGCCACGCCGCGUGAGCGAUGAAGGCCUCGGUCGUAAGACGUCUGUGGGAGAGACGAAGAAAGACCUGUGAAGAGCAGGCCUUGACGGUAGUCUCCUUAGUCAAG
rnacentral:rRNA from 1 species